CAGUAGCCGCGGUAAUACAGAGGAUGCAAGCGUUAUCCGGAAUUAUUGGGCGUAAAGGGCUCGCAGGCGGUUUCUUAAGUCUGAUGUGAAAGCCCCCGGCUCAACCGGGGAGGGUCAUUGGAAACUGGGAAACUUGAGUGCAGAAGAGGAGAGUGGAAUUCCACGUGUAGCGGUGGAAUGCGUAGAGAUGUGGAGGAACACCAGUGGCGAAGGCGACUCUCUGGUCUGUAACUGACGCUGAGGAGCGAAAGCGUGGGGAGCGAACGGGAUUAGAUACCCCAGUAGUCCCUGUCUCUUAUAC
rnacentral:rRNA from 1 species